UUGCCAAGCUCAAGUUGAGCAUCUACUACAUAUGCUAGUAGUAGGUGUAGUAGGGUGUUUUAUCCUGAAGAUAUCCGUCCUGUGAGUGCUAUAGCAUCACUCUUGAGUGUAGCCGGGCGCUAAUGUCUUAAGGGCAACGUGUUGAACACGUGACUCACUCUGUUUUUCCAAAGUUUUUCCUUGUUGUUGUUGUGGAGAUAUGAGAAGCUCGUUCGUUUCGUUAAUCGAUCACUUCCAUUAUAAAGGAGCUAAGUAUCAAUAACUUUUGCUUAUUUGAUUUUUUCUUUAUUUUGAUUAUUGCAUCCAACAAUUAGUUGUAUGUAUGCUUAAUUUUUUUGGGCUUGGUGUCUUUCGUAGGCACUAUUCGCUAACAUUGAACGGCGGAGCUUGCUCAUAUACUCAAGGUAUCAUUAAGUCUGGCAGAAAAACUGAAGGAGAACUUAGAAACAACAUCCAACGAUUCACAACAACCUUCUCAAGCGCCCAAGGACCCAGAAGCAACCGUGGAUUCACAGAAACAGGC